rnacentral:hammerhead_ribozyme from 1 species
AUCCAGCUAGUGAGUCCCAAAUAGGACGAAACGCGGGUCAAACUGGAU